rnacentral:misc_RNA from 1 species
UGUUCAAAGCUGCCCAGC